UACGAAGGGUGCAAACGUUGCUCGGAAUUAUUGGGCGUAAAGCGCACGUAGGCGGCUUAGUAAGUUGGAUGUGAAAUCCCUCGGCUUAACCAAGGAAGUGCAUCCAAAACUACUGAGCUUGAGUACUAAAGAGGAUCGCGGAAUUCCCGGUGUAGAGGUGAAAUUCGUAGAUAUCGGGAGGAACACCAGUGGCGAAGGCGGCGAUCUGGGUAGAUACCGACGCUGAGGCACGAAAGCUAGGGGAGCAAACAGG
rnacentral:rRNA from 1 species